rnacentral:rRNA from 1 species
GACGAACGCUGGCGGCGUGCUUAACACAUGCAAGUCGAACGGAAAGGCCCUGCUUUUGUGGGGUGCUCGAGUGGCGAACGGGUGAGUAACACGUGAGUAACCUGCCCUUGACUUUGGGAUAACUUCAGGAAACUGGGGCUAAUACCGGAUAGGAGCUCCUGCUGCAUGGUGGGGGUUGGAAAGUUUCGGCGGUUGGGGAUGGACUCGCGGCUUAUCAGCUUGUUGGUGGGGUAGUGGCUUACCAAGGCUUUGACGGGUAGCCGGCCUGAGAGGGUGACCGGCCACAUUGAGACUGAGAUGCGGCCCAGACUCCUACGGGAGGCAGCAGUGGGGAAUAUUGCACAAUGGGCGGAAGCCUGAUGCAGCAACGCCGCGUGCGGGAUGACGGCCUUCGGGUUGUAAACCGCUUUCGCCUGUGACGAAGCGUGAGUGACGGUAAUGGGUAAAGAAGCACCGGCUAACUACGUG